rnacentral:rRNA from 1 species
AUUGAACGCUGGCGGCAGGCCUAACACAUGCAAGUCGAACGAGUGGCGGACGGGUGAGUAAUGUCUGGGAAACUGCCCGAUGGAGGGGGAUAACUACUGGAAACGGUAGCUAAUACCGCAUACCAUCGGAUGUGCCCAGAUGGGAUUAGCUAGUAGGUGGGGUAAAGGCUCACCUAGGCGACGCUCCCUAGCGGGUCUGAGAGGAUGACCAGCCACACUGGGACUGAGAAACGGCCCAGAAUCCUACGGGGAGCAGCAGUAGGGGAUCUGCGGCAAUGGGCGGAAGUCUGACCGAGCAACGCCGCGGGAGAGAAGAAGGUUUUCGGAUUGUAAAGCUCGUUGAGAGGGAAGACGGUAACUAACCAGAAAGGAACGGCUAACUACGUGCCAGCAGCCGCGGUAAUAC